GUGCUGGCUAAUUAUGAGUCUUUUAGGAUUUGAGAGGCGUUCGGGUAAAAAGAUGAAUAAUCAUGUUGGUCUAGUAGAGUUGUUGAUCAGCCGUUUUGUAGAAAAAGUGAAAAGUAUUGUAAAAGAAGGGCGUAAAUAUUAAAGAAAGUAAUGAUUUAAGCUUGUACCUUUUGUAUCAGGGUGUUUCAAGAUUAUGGUUCGAGUGGCCUAUUUCUCGAAAUGUUAAGAUUUAUCUUGAUAAAUUAUGCAUAAGUAAUAAAUUGUGGAGUAAUUUCAAGUUAGGGGUGAAAUGUUAGUCGAUUAAUAUAUAUCUAGUUUUCUGAGAAAAAAGUUUAAUUUUUUCUAAAAUUUAAAGUUGUGUUUGAGAUUUAGAUCAGAGGGCAUGAGCUCUUUGAUUAGGGCCGGUUAGAUUGAACUUAUUGCCAGAGCAGUUGUAAUUAGGCUUGAAAUUAGCCAUGUUGUAAGGAUGUUAUAUUUUAUUUCAGGUUAAAGGUGUUUUAUCGAAGUUCGCUUAAGUUAUUAGAAAGUGGCGCUUAGUUUUAAGGCGGUAGUUAAAAUGAUAUAAUAAGUAGUUUUAUUGUUUGGGUGUAGAAAUUAAACACUCGGCUGAUUAUAAAUAAUUUAAAGAUUAGUUAAGGAACUCGGCAAAUUUUUCUUUUGCCUGUUUAUCAAAAACAUGUCCCCAUGGGUGUGAUUAUGGGGUCUGGCCUGCCCACUGAUUAAUUGAAGGGCCGCGGUAUACUAACCGUGCGAAGGUAGCAUAGUCAAUAGUCUUUUAAUUGAAGGCUUGAAUGAACGGUCGGACAUAAAGAAAGCUGUCUGCGGCUUAUAGGGGUGAAAUUAACUUUUGUGUGAAAAGGCAUUAAUAAAUUAAUGGGACGAUAAGACCCUAUAAAACUUGAUAAUUAGGUUUUGGUCCUUUAAGAUAUAAGUAAAGCGGGGCUGGAAGGGUUUAUUUUGCUGGGGCGGCAGGAAUAAAAUUUUAACUGUUCUUUUUAAUUAAAUAAUUAUAAUUAGAUGAUGAUCCUGAAUUUUGGUUUAAAAGAUUAAGUUACUUUAGGGAUAACAGCGUUAUUUCCCUUGAGAGUUCAAAUCGACAGGGAUAUUUGCGACCUCGAUGUUGAAUUAAAAUUUUUUCCAGGAGUAGGAGUUUGGAUAAUAGGUCUGUUCGACCUUUAAAAUUUUACAUGAUUUGAGUUCAAACCGGUGUGAGCCAGGUUGGUUUCUAUCUAUUAGUUUAAGGGAAGCUAUUUUAGUACGAAAGGAUUGAGUAGCUGCAAGAGUUGUUUAUUUAUUGAAAAACAAUAAUU
rnacentral:rRNA from 1 species